GAAAUGCGAUACUUGGUGUGAAUUGCAGAAUCCCGUGAACCAUCGAGUCUUUGAACGCAAGUUGCGCCUGAAGCCACUAGGCCGAGGGCACGUCUGCCUGGGCGUCACGCAUCGCGUCUCCCCCAACCCACCCUGUGUGGCAAAGGGGGAGGAAGAUGGCUUCCCAUUCCUCACCGGGCAUGGUUGGCCUAAAUAAGAAGCCUUAAGUUACGAACUUCUACGGCUAUUGGUGGUACCACAAGGCUUAGCCUCGGUGUAUCGAGCCGUGAAGUACGUAGCUUCUAUGGGCUUGCAGGACCCUGAGUUAUCUCCUUGUUGGGAUUAACCGUUGCGACCCCAGGUCAGGCGGGGUUACCCGCUGAGUUUAA
rnacentral:misc_RNA from 1 species